UACGUAGGGGGCAAGCGUUGUCCGGAUUUAUUGGGCGUAAAGAGCGUGUAGGCGGCCAAGCAGGUCAGCUGUGAAAACUCGAGGCUCAACCUCGAGACGUCGGUUGAAACCGUUUGGCUAGAGUCCGGAAGAGGAGAGUGGAAUUCCCGGUGUAGCGGUGAAAUGCGCAGAUAUCGGGAAGAACACCCGUGGCGAAGGCGGCUCUCUGGGACGGUACUGACGCUGAGACGCGAAAAGCGUGGGGAGCGAACAGG
rnacentral:rRNA from 1 species